AAAAGGGGGGCCAAGGCUAAAGGAGUCUCUGCACCGCCAUACACGAGGGAGGAGAUGGAACUCCUCCGGAAGUUGGAGCGAGAAGUCUGCUAACAUUUUGACCCCAUGCUGACUAUUGACCAGAAGCAAUUAAUGCUAUACACAUAGUUUUCUUAGAUGGGUUUAAUGCUAAUCAAUCAAUACGUGACUCAAAUGGUGGUGUCAAAUGAAUUAUAAAAGUGCUAAACGACGUGACCUCAAUAUCUACGAUAUAGAUUUUCUGUAAUGAUAUUUUAACAUUGUUCGACUCUAUAUACUAGACCAUGUAUUAUGCAUACCUGGAUAGAUUGUAUUUAGAUAGAUGGUUGCGUAGAUUAAUCUAUUGAAGUAAGUGUUCAUGUGUAUAAUGAUAACCGUAUACGUGGGAGAAAGCAAUAAUAAAACGUGCAUGUACCAUGAGGAAAGAGGAAACUCUCUGAAAUGUUGCAUGAAUGUUCAUUUAGUUCAAUGUAAUUAUAUAUUACUUACGUAACAGGAAAUGGUACAACAUUAUAUCAGCGAUAAUCAAGAGCGUACUUAACUACGAACUGUGUAAUACCGCAGUACCAUUUCAACUUUGAGAAACUUAAAUUAGUGCAAAUAUUUGGCUAAUGCUAUUGACAUUGGAGACGAGAUCACCACGAUCGCAUCUAUUCAUGUAUGCAUUUGCAAGCAUGGAAAAAUAUAUGAUUGAUAAGCCGUGUGACCCUCAUGACGGCACAGACAUAUGAAAUUCAUAUUAUGAAUGUCACAUAAUUCACACAGAAUACUGGUGAUAAUAACAAUCAACACUUUUAUGCACCACCACCAAGAUUUGGAUUGCAAUGAAGGGAAACUUGAACUAGUUGAGCUGUUAUUAACUGAAACUGAAAACAGAUGAUGGGAAACUAGCGAUUGUUGAAAUGAACAAUGCUGUAACAAAUUAAAAGAAAUUUCAAUUUCCACCUCAUCCUGUCGGUAAACGAGAACAAUGAAGUGAAAGUGAAAAGAAGAUUAAGAUUUUCAGAGAAACGGUACUUGGUUUGGCGUCCUUAAUUUUGUGCUACUUUUGUUCCUGUGCCCGUGACGUCAUAUCUUGCAUACAGUGUGCAGUCAAGAUGGGACAUGAAAGAGUUGGUGAAAUGGACGACGGGGUGCGGACUCGAGGAACAAAUAGGCAACCAGCGGCACCAAGAGAGAAUCAAAGGGACCAGGCAAACGAAGGACGAGAGAUGGAGAUCGUUGAAGCUACCGUUGCAGGCUUGGUCGGCCUGAUCACUGCCGUGGGGGCCAACCUAUUCACAAGAUAUGUCAUCCACUACCUAACGUGAUCCUCAAGUCGUCAACCUCAAUCCGUCCUACGUGACCAGGUCCAGUGCAAUCUACAAUCUUCUAUAUCUUCUGCAUAUCAGUGUGAACACUGCUAAAAUAACGAUGUCAAUCUUCCAAGUUCUUCCAGUUCCAAAGAUUAGAGUUUAUCAAUCCAUUAAUACUACAAUUCAAGCUUUUGUACAACUUUUUCAUUUGAGAAAAACCGAGUAAAAAUGUUACGAUGAUUUGUUGACCAGAA